UGCUAUUUUCCCAUGACUGCAAUGAAGAAUUGUGGAAUGCAUUGCCUCUCUCUUUGAGUAUUUUCAUUCCCAAGUUCUACAUGAGGUGAUCCCUAAAAGCAUACUGCACAAGUGAAGGGAUUGACAUCACAAGGCUUUCCACACUUCUGGUGCCAGAUGUCCACAUAGCUGCAAUCCACCUAUUCUUCUUCCUGGGUGAUUUCUCAAAGACAAGGAUAACCUAAGUUAAUUCAGGGUCUUGUCUCGCCCUUUUCCUGGACUCCACCCUAACACAUACAGUGCUUCUCUUCUCUGUUUUCAAAAGUGGAUUUUCUUACUCUACCCUAAAAGCAUUAUUUCUGUAGCUGCUAUGGUAAGACUUUUACAGUUUCAGCUAUAGAGCUACCCUUACAAAUACUGUAGCUUUAGAACAGCGAGGGAGAAAGAAUCCUAGGUAAUAUUACUUUUAAUUGAGAGUAAAUCUGACUUUUCUCAAAAUGAGCUUUAAUUAGAAAGAGAGAAGUCAUAUGUGUUCGGGUAUGUGUAGCUUGUGAAGAUGUGUGUAGAGCUCUACUCUGGAACUUGGCCUUGAGAUUGAUUUGUUUAUAUGCUCCUCUCUAUCCCCAGGAUUUUCUCUUGAAAGACCAAGGCACCAGAACAAUUCCCCCAUCUUUCAAGUCUCAUAUAUAGCCCAAAAUUCAUAUCUCAGAAUGAUCUGGAUGCUGUGUUAGCACACCAGCCAUUACAGUGCUCUCCUCCCCUGUUCAAAACGUUAGGAACCUUUAACCUGUGCUGGGGGUAGGUAUCACUGCCUUCAGGAAUUUUCUUUCUCAGCUUGAGUGGCAUAGGCCAAUCUCAACUUCAGUCUUAUUCACAUAUCCCUUAGACAUAAAGAAAUAAAUAAUAAAUCAUGCCACAUUUUUAUUUUGACAGUUGGAUUUGCAAUGCUGGUGCAAAGCUGGUGCAGUCAGGGCUUUGAUCGUGAGCCAUGGUUGUAGUUUAGUUUCUUAGAAGGGACCCAAAAUUCCUACAGACAAACGCAUUCUGGAAACCAGGUCUUAAAACUUGUUGGAAAUGGUUGCUAAUCUAAUUUUCUCAUUGUAUUCUCCCAAGCAGUUCUAGAGAGAGAAUGUAUAGAGGUCAUUAUCUCAAUUAUAGCCCAGUUAACUCUACAGGUAAUUAUAAUUCUAGAGAAAAUAUAGGUUGGAUGAUAGUGAUAAUCUUCUGAUCAAGGCCUCUCUCCCAGGGCAAAUUGUAGGAUGUGUCCCAAUGCAGGCACGGUUUUCGUUUUUGUUUUACUCUGGGUCACAGAGAAUCUGAUGAUUAUUAUUGUUCCUGCCUAGAGAAGCUUUCAGUUGGGUUUGGGUGGCUCAUAGGUUUUCCAUUAUGAUACAAAGACUAAAGCACUAGUCUCUUUGAGGGUGGCCUUGCCCCCACAGUGGGCAGACCAUGGUGACAAUUUCAUCUCUCCAUGACCUCUGGAAGCUGUUAUUUGAAAGAAAGUGAUUUUCGUGUGUAUGUGAUAUCUAAGGGGAGAUAAAGUAGGGCAAUUUUUUUUUUUUUUUUUUUUUUUUGCUUUUGUGGAUUGUGGCCAUUAAUACCUGGAGUAAAUGUUACCUUAUGCCCCAAGCGAAGCACAUCUGAACACGGUACUUGUAGCUUCUUCUCCUUUGCUCUUCCUCACCGAGCAGAGCCCCAGGGCCGGAGGCUAACAGGUCAACAGAAAAGAAUAGAUGGAAUUAAUCCUGAAAUACCUAAAGCUUCUGACACAGAUUUUUUAAAAGUAAUGUUUGAAAACUCCAAGUCUUAGUAUUUGCAGUUUAGUAUUUUGCUGAAUCCACCCCCAAAAUGUAGCUGGCUUUGAUGGGUGAUCGCAUUAAACACCUUGGUAAUUCCUUUCAAAAGUUAAAGAGACAGGAAUAAAUCUCAAAGAUGUAUACAAAGGUAAACUACGUAUAGUUUCACACAUACAUAUAUUUAAACUUUCAUGAAAUUUUAAAAUUUCCAAACAAAAGGCUCAACGAAUAUACUUUAGUUGUAUGCAAAUCACAAAACUUAGUCAACAUGAGAAAUUGCUACCAUUAAUGACACCAAGAAAAUGCCUGGCAGAGACAUGAGGCUAGUGUGACUUGAUUUUGUCUGAAAGUGUGUGUCAAAAGCCUUGAACAACAACAACAACCAAUUCAGAAGCGUUCGAACAACCUAUGCACGUGUAAAAGCACAAAUAAGAACAGGUUAGACUUUUUCAUGAAAUCAAAUGAAUUGCUUGCAAAUUGGUGUCUGAUGGGCUUGGAGACAUUGCUUUCUGAUUUGAGGCUGUCUGGAGGGGACACUUCAAUAGUAAUUUGUGGUCAUUGUGAAUAUUUCUUCAUUACACAUGCUUUAACGGGAAGGUCCCACUCUAGAUAUACAAACUGGACUUUGCUUAACAGGGAUUCGGUUCUUCUCUGCAGACUGAUGUGGUGGGAUCCUCUUUAUACCGGAUUCAUAACCAUUUCUGUUUCCCCUCCUCUCAUCCCUUGGCCAGUGGCCUUGCUACUAGUUUGUCAGAACUCUUCUAGUCACCCCAUAUAGGACCUCAGCUUUCUUUUUUGCAACAUUUCCCCCAGUAUUUUGUCUUGAUUCUCUCUCAAGGAUGGUGGGGAGUCCUGGGGAAGGCCCAGGAGAAGACGAGGGAGUGGGGAUGAGGGAGCGCAAGCUCAGGGCUGAGACUUUGUUCACACGGCUUCAGAGCAUCCGUG
rnacentral:lncRNA from 1 species